rnacentral:rRNA from 1 species
AGUGAACGCUGGCGGUAGGCCUAACACAUGCAAGUCGAACGGCAGCACAGUAAGAGCUUGCUCUUACGGGUGGCGAGUGGCGGACGGGUGAGGAAUACAUCGGAAUCUACUUUUUCGUGGGGGAUAACGUAGGGAAACUUACGCUAAUACCGCAUACGACCUACGGGUGAAAGAAGGGGAUCUUCGGACCUUGCGCGAUUGAAUGAGCCGAUGUCGGAUUAGCUAGUUGGCGGGGUAAAGGCCCACCAAGGCGACGAUCCGUAGCUGGUCUGAGAGGAUGAUCAGCCACACUGGAACUGAGACACCGUACAGACUCCUACGGGAGGCAGCAGUGGGGAAUAUUGGACAAGGGGCGCAAGCCUGAUCCAGCCAUACCGCGUGGGUGAAGAAGGCCUUCGGGUUGUAAAGCCCUUUUGUUGGGAAAGAAAAGCAGCAGGUUAAUACCCCGCUGUUCUGACGGUACCCAAAGAAUAAGCACCGGCUAACUUCGU